GAGUUCUAUAAAUAAACACAAGCACACACAAAAUAAGUCCCAUGACUGCUCAUGCAGAAUCUUGUGAUUAUCAGAUGGCAUCUAAUAGAUUUAUCCUUUACCCAUCCAAAACAACCAUUUCACAAAGUGAAAACUUUUGUCAGCAAUUUCAGAGUGUAGUAUAUUUUGCACCAGCAUGAGGCAUAGUGAAAAGUGUAAUAAAGUACAAUUCAUUGGUACCAUAAAGCAUAUUUUUUUAAUUAGCCAAUACUGCCAAUAUUUAAAGGUUUGUACUUAUUUUAAGAUUGAGAUCAUCAUCUAGCACUAACUUUAAGUUUAACUCUGUAAGAGCACUAGAUCUUGAAAAGCACUUUCCUAUUUAAAGAGAUGCUGCACUCUGAGCUCUAUUUGCUUAUUUAUUAACACUGGCAAUCAAAUUGCUAUCAGCAAAUUACAGUUUUAAAAUAACUGUUUUCUGCAUCAUCCUCUAAUUUCCAGAACAAUGCACCCCUAAUAGAAAGUAUUUACCAAAUCACAACAAAACUGUCAGAACAUGAUCUUGAAUUGUGAGAAAAACAUUAACAUGUGACCAACUGUGCUCAUUUAGAAAACAAAUGCAAUGCUAUUUGUUUUCAAGCUAUGGAGUGAACACCAGAAUCAAGGUCCUGACCAUGGGAGGAAACAGCCCUGCAUACCCACCGAAAUGACUCAACACCUCUCCCCUCCUUUCCUCUCAGCUCCUCAGCCUGCCUGGAGAACAAGGAGAUGAUUCACGAUGGGAGAAGGAGGGGGAGCUCUGGUGUGCAGCAGGAAGGGAGGGGUUUGGUGAUGGGUGAUUUAUGGACAACAGCUGACAAGCGGGAAAAAAAACAACAAGAGGGAGGGAAGCAGAUGCCGAUUCCUGCACUGGUGCUGCUUCACAAACUAGUGUGCCAACCCGGAGUCACUGGAUUCAAACAGAUUCCAGAGCAUGGUGGACUCUCACCUGCCGACGGGUUCCAGUGGGGCUGCGAUAGGGGGGCUGCGUCCCUGAGAAAGAGGACAGGGCCAAGGGAUGGACGACAGGCUGACGAGGGGUGGAGAAAUGAGUCGAGGA